rnacentral:rRNA from 1 species
UACGUAGGGGGCAAGCGUUAUCCGGAUUUACUGGGUGUAAAGGGAGCGUAGACGGCGAUGCAAGUCUGAAGUGAAAGGCGGGGGCCCAACCCCCGGACUGCUUUGGAAACUGCGAGGCUGGAGUGCUGGAGAGGUAAGCGGAAUUCCUGGUGUAGCGGUGAAAUGCGUAGAUAUCAGGAGGAACACCGGUGGCGAAGGCGGCUUACUGGACAGUGACUGACGUUGAGGCUCGAAAGCGUGGGGAGCGAACAGG